rnacentral:rRNA from 1 species
GAUUAAUGGGAAGUCAAAGUCCAUCUUUUCGAUGUGUACUUUAUUCUCGUUUCCUUCCUUUUGAAUACACUCCUUAAAAUUCUUUUAAGGGUCAAAGUGUUUCAAAUCUUUUACUGUGAAGAAAUUAGAGUGUUCAAAGCAGGCGUAAUCUAGCCUUUGAAUAUAUUAGCAUGGGAUAAUGAAAUAGGACUUUAGUACUACUUUCGUUGGUUUCUAGCGCUAAAGUA